UGGUUUCUCUUCAGAUCAUAUAAAUCUUUUGUCUUUUACUAAAGAUUUCCAGGGAGAGGAACAUUUAU
rnacentral:snRNA from 1 species